rnacentral:misc_RNA from 1 species
UCACCGCUUGCGCGGGCAGUCUCAUUAGAGUCCCCGGCAUUACCCGCUGGCAACUAAUGAUAGGGGUUGCGCUCGUUACAGGACUUAACCUAACACCUCACGGCACGAGCUGACGACAGCCAUGCAGCACCUAGUUUUGUGCCAUUGCUGGCUGACAUGUUUCCACGUCAUUCACUAACUUUCAAGCCCUGGUAAGGUUCCUCGCGUAUCAUCGAAUUAAACCACAUGCUCCUCCGCUUGUGCGGGCCCCCGUCAAUUUCUUUGAGUUUUAACCUUGCGGCCGUACUCCCCAGGCGGAGAGCUUAAUGCGUUAGCUGCGUCACCGACACGCAUGCGUGCCGACAACUAGCUUUCAUCGUUUACAGCGUGGACUAC